AACGAACGCUGGCGGCAGGCCUAACACAUGCAAGUCGAACGCCGUAGCAAUACGGAGUGGCAGACGGGUGAGUAACACGUGGGAACGUACCCUUCGGUUCGGAAUAACUCAGGGAAACUUGAGCUAAAACCGGAUACGUCCGAGAGGAGAAAGAUUCAUCGCCGAGGGAUCGGCCCGCGUCCGAUUAGCUUGUUGGUGGGGUAACGGCCUACCAAGGCUCCGAUCGGUAGCUGGUCUGAGAGGANGAUCAGCCACACUGGGACUGAGACACGGCCCAAACUCCUACGGGAGGCAGCAGUGGGAAUAUUGGACAAUGGGCGCAAGCCUGAUCCAGCCAUGCCGCGUGAGUGAUGAAGGCCCUAGGGUUGUAAAGCUC
rnacentral:rRNA from 1 species